rnacentral:rRNA from 1 species
AAAGGUACUCAAGGGCGCUAAAUGGAUGCCUAGACGUAUAUUACCGAAGAAGGACGUGGAAGACUGCGAUAAGCCUCGGGAAGCUGUCAACAAGCUUUGAUCCGGGGAUUUCCGAAUGGGGAAACCUAGCAUGACUCAUAUCAUGUUGUCUCUAACUGAAUACAUAGGUUAUUGAACGGGAACCAACUGAACUGAAACAUCUUAGUAGGUUGAGGAAGAGAAAGUAAAAAACGAUUGCGAAAGUAGUGGCGAGCGAAAUCGCAACAGCCCAAACCUUUUAAGUUUUUAUCUGCUUGCAGAUAAAUAAGCUGAUAGGCGAAUACUUAUAAGGGGUUGUGAUCUUACAUAUGACCAUGCAAGAGAAUUUAACAUUGUUAAAUAAUCUUGUAUGUGACUACUGACUAUCAUAGGUAGGUAAGGAAGAAAUCAGCGUGGUUAGCAGAAUAGUUUGAAUGACUAACCAAAGGACGUGAAAGUCGUGUAUGCGAAAACGACGCUGGCCUUAUAUAUGUUUUAUCGAGUAGGACGGGGCACGAGAAACCCUGUUUGAAUCUGGCUGGACCACCAGCCAAGGCUAAAUAUGAUAUACGAUCGAUAGUGAACUAGUACAGUGAUGGAAAGGUGAAAAGAACCCCGGGAGGGGAGUGAAAUAGAUCCUGAAAUUUAGUGCCUACAAGGAGUCGGAGCUGAAAGCGAGCUUGAAUAGAGCGAAUAAGUCUUGAGGAUUAGACCCGAAACCGGGUGACCUAACCAUGAGCAGGCUGAAGCUACUGUAACAGGUAGUGAAGGGCCGAACCAAUAUACGCAGCAAAGUGUUUGGAUGACUUGUGGUUAGCGGUGAAAUGCCAAUCGAACUCGGAGAUAGCUGGUUCUCCUCGAAACAGUUUUAGGACUGGCGU